UGGAAGUAAAAGUCGUACAAGUUUCGUAGUGGAACCUGCGGAAGGAUCAUA
rnacentral:rRNA from 1 species